GAAUUCACUAGUGAUUCAGGCCUAACACAUGCAAGUCGAGCGAACCCUUCGGGGUGAGCGGCGGACGGGUGAGUAACGCGUGGGUAACCUGCCCUAUACACACGGAUAACGUACCGAAAGGUACGCUAAUACGAGAUGACAUAUUUUUAUCGCAUGGUAGAAAUAUCAAAGCUCCGGCGGUAUAGGAUGGACCCGCGUCUGAUUAGCUAGUUGGUAAGGUAAUGGCUUACCAAGGCGACGAUCAGUAGCCGACCUGAGAGGGUGAUCGGCCACAUUGGAACUGAGACACGGUCCAAACUCCUACGGGAGGCAGCAGUGGGGAAUAUUGCACAAUGGGCGAAAGCCUGAUGCAGCAACGCCGCGUGAGCGAAAAAGGCCUUCGGGUCGUAAAGCUCUGUCCUCAAGGAAGAUAAUGAC
rnacentral:rRNA from 1 species